rnacentral:rRNA from 1 species
UGAGUAGCGAAAGACGGGUGAGAAUCCCGUCCACCGAUUGACUAAGGUUUCCAGAGGAAGGCUCGUCCGCUCUGGGUUAGUCGGGUCCUAAGCUGAGGCCGACAGGCGUAGGCGAUGGAUAACAGGUUGAUAUUCCUGUACCACCAUUAUUCGUUUUAAGCGAUGGGGGGACGCAGUAGGAUAGGCGAAGCGUGCUGUUGGAGUGCACGUCCAAGCAGUGAGAUUGAGUGUUAGGCAAAUCCGGCACUCUUAAGAUUGAGCUGUGAUGGGGAGAGGAACUUGUUCCUCGAGUCGUUGAUUUCACACUGCCGAGAAAAGCCUCUAGCUAGAAUAACGGUGCCCGUACCGCAAACCGACACAGGUAGUCAAGAUGAGAAUUCUAAGGUGAGCGAGCGAACUCUCGUUAAGGAACUCGGCAAAAUGACCCCGUAACUUCGGGAGAAGGGGUGCUCUUUGAGGUUCACGCUUCGAAGAGCCGCAGUGAAUAGGCCCAAGCGACUGUUUAUCAAAAACACAGGUCUCUGCUAAACCGUAAGGUGACGUAUAGGGGCUGACGCCUGCCCGGUGCUGGAAGGUUAAGAGGAGUGGUUAGCGCAAGCGAAGCUACGAAUCGAAGCCCCAGUAAACGGCGGCCGUAACUAUAACGGUCCUAAGGUAGCGAAAUUCCUUGUCGGGUAAGUUCCGACCCGCA